rnacentral:rRNA from 1 species
ACCUUCGGGCCUNGCGCUAUCAGAUGAGCCUAGGUCGGAUUAGCUAGUUGGUGAGGUAAUGGCUCACCAAGGCGACGAUCCGUAACUGGUCUGAGAGGAUGAUCAGUCACACUGGAACUGAGACACGGUCCAGACUCCUACGGGAGGCAGCAGUGGGGAAUAUUGGACAAUGGGCGAAAGCCUGAUCCAGCCAUGCCGCGUGUGUGAAGAAGGUCUUCGGAUUGUAAAGCACUUUAAGUUGGGAGGAAGGGCAUUAACCUAAUACGUUAGUGUUUUGACGUUACCGACAGAAUAAGCACCGGCUAACUCUGUGCC